UGGGGAAUCUUCCGCAAUGGACGAAAGUCUGACGGAGCAACGCCGCGUGAGUGAAGAAGGUUUUCGGAUCGUAAAACUCUGUCUUUUGGGGCGAACGUGAGUAUGGUGAACAAUCAUAGUCAGUGACGGUACCAAAGGAGGAAGCCACGGCUAACUACGUGCCAGCAGCCGCGGUAAUACGUAGGUGGCAAGCGUUGUCCGGAAUUAUUGGGCGUAAAGAGCGCGUAGGCGGGAUAGUCAGUCUGUUGUAAAGUGCGGGGCUCAACCCCGUGAUCGCAAUGGAAACAGCUAUUCUUGAGUGCAGGAGAGGAAAGUGGAAUUCCCAGUGUAGCGGUGAAAUGCGUAGAUAUUGGGAGGAACACCAGUGGCGAAGGCGACUUUCUGGACUGUGUCUGACGCUGAGGCGCGAAAGCCAGGGGAGCGAACGGGAUUAGAUACCCCGGUAGUCCUGGCCGUAAACGAUGGGUACUAGGUGUGGGAGGUAUCGACCCCUUUCCGUGCCGGAGUUAACGCAAUAAGUACCCCCGCCUGGGGAGUACGGUCGCAAGACUGAAACUUAAAUGAAUUGACGGGGUCAUAGCUGUUUCCUG
rnacentral:rRNA from 1 species